GUAGCAUUUGCUCAAAUUGGUAUGAAUAAAACUUUACUUUACUCAGCUUGGACUGUAGCAAGUUCGAAAUUCGAACAUAGCUUUUGCUCCGUCAAUUAUUUGUCAACAUCAUAAUUUUCGGGUAGUAAAAAAUUUUAAGUGGAAUCAAAAAAAUUGUUUUAAUUAUUUCGUGAAGGAAAAAGAUAUUUGACCCAAACUCUAUCGAACUAAUCACUAACAACCGUCAACAACUACACAUACAGUAAGAAAUCAUGCCGUGACAACCGGAGGUUGUAUUUUCUAAUUUAAGUACGAUUUACACGAUACGUCAGGCUUCUGUCAAAGUCAAAGGAACGUCAACAUUAGUUACAUGCAGUUAAAUGGAUGUAUUCACACAACAUCAACGGCACGAAUGUUUCAAGGUACGGAACCUGUAAAUGGUUAAAAGAGAAACGCAUUCAACUUAUCCUAGCGGAACGAUGACGUGACUUUGACGAUGUGUACACAAGACACAGUUGACGGUGCUAGGUGUUGGAUUAAGUCGUGGUAGACACGUUGAUUUAAUGCAUUUAGUACGCUCCAUUCGUUGGGCAGUAAAUGGAAAAGCAGCAUCCCAGACCUAAACCGAAUUGGCUUAAAAGUGCAGUUAAGUAGUGAUGAAAGAUAAGGCACGAUAUAACGGAACAGCAGCAUCGAUUUCAUCACCAAGGACUGUUAUGACACCUACUGGCUAGAGCAUCAGUAGGGAAAAACAACUGGUGCAGGAUAGUCCCAGUAUUUAUCGUGGAAGUGCCCCAUACAAUGCACAUGUAACAACGUUUAGAUUGUUUGUUUUUCUUGCGGUGCAAUACAAUCAUUGAUUAUAUUUAACAUAACGCUAUGUGCAUCCUGGACGAUUAAUGGUGGAACCUGUACUGCUGCUAUACGCAUAACUGUCCCAUGUGUAUAGGAAAUCUCAUAGCACAUGGGACAGUUAUGCUUAUAGCGGCUGUGUAACUGGUGCUUCAUUGAAUCUCAAUUGAGCUGCACACAGGCAGCUGUUCUAAAGGACGAUUCAGACGAUACAUCAGUUUCCGUCAACGGAACGUCACCGUUCCGUCAGGAUAAGUUAGAUGCGUUGCUCUUGUGUUCGUUCACACGUACCGUACGUCAAAACGUCCCAUGCCGUUGAUGUUGUGUGUGAAUGCCUUCAUUUAACUGCAUGUAACUAAUCUCGUAUGCAUUGUACGUUAACGCAUCGUUGUUGUCGAAUGUGAGCAACUAGCUGGACGCGUAAUUAGACACAUCGCUCGUCUAAGGACAGCUUUAAUCUAACGUUUCAUUAAGCACAAGAUAUGUUCUAUUACUCCAUGUUGUAAUGUAGCGUAAGCGUAUAACCAAUGAUUGUAAAUUAGCAUUGCCGAAAUUGGACGAAUAUACUGGGUGUUACAUCCAUUACAAAUGAGGAUGUUAUUACUAGCAGAACAUAGGUCGAUAAGCACUAUACUUGUGUGUGAGCGUAGGAGGCUCAGAUGGAUUGGAUGUACGAAUGAAUUGAAUGAUUUUUUCAUGAUAGCAUAACAGAUUUGGUGGAAAACCAGAUUGUUCUAAAACAAUAACGAUAAAUCAAUAUCCAGUAAAAAAGUAAAUAAGAUUUGAAAAUAUUGAACAAAGAAAAC